GACAGGAGGAUGCAAGUGUUAUCCGGAAUAUGGUGCGUAAAGCGUCUGUAGGUGGUUUAAAAAGUCUAUUGUUAAAAAUUGAAGCUUAACUUCAAAGAUGCAAUGGAAACUUUUAAACUUGAGUAUGGUAGGGGUAGAGGGAAUUUCCAGUGGAGCGGUGAAAUGCGUAGAUAUUGGAAAGACCACCAAUGGCGAAGGCACUCUACUGGGCCAUUACUGACACUGAGAGACGAAAGCUAGGGGAGCAAAUGGG
rnacentral:rRNA from 1 species